rnacentral:lncRNA from 10 species
ACUGCAAGCCUGAGUCCCUUCCUUACCCAAGCAGCAUCCCAGAGCCUGCCAGCCUCUUCCAAGGCUAGGAACAUUCUGCUGUUUCCAUCUCUGCUCCAUGUGCUACCCCUUUGGCUAAGGGGGAAAUAUGUUUUUAAAUCUCAAAUAGUCAGGCUCAUUUUCUGCUUCACACAGUCCUUGUUCUCUCUUGAGGAACUUGGAACAUGCUCCUGAGCUACACUGGAAAAUAUCGAAGUGCCCUUCUCCAUAAUUAGCCAGCAUCCCUGCCAUCUGGACCCUCUCAUACCUCACAGGGAUUUCCUUGUCCACAUGGAACUGAGACUGAUCCAAGAGUCCAGCUCCUGCUGACUGAACUCUGCCAUCUGUUCCGAAGCUUGCCUUACCUGCUCCUGUCCAACCAGGCACCCCUCUGUGGGCCUGUGCUUUAGUCCUUUUUCACUCUAGACCCUGGUACUACUGAGGUGGCUUGCGUGGUCCUAAAUUUGCUAGUCUCUUAUUUUGAUAAAGGCUGCAAGUAGCAAAUAUCCUUAUCCUUGAAAAUAAGGGCAUCUAGGCCCCUGGCUUCUUUUUAUGUUUAUUUAUGCAUGUACUAUAGAAAACUUGGAAACCAUACUUACAGAGAAGAAAAUAAGAAUUUCCAUCCAAGGCUUUUUUAAAGGGCCAAGCACUGUUCAUGUUUUGUUGUCUAUUCCUCCAGUCUUUUCUCUACACACAUAUGGCAUUUUCUCAAGUCUCAGAUAGUGAGAAGCAUCAUCUCAUUAGUAAGACCUUUUCAGGAGGGAGGGAGGGGGAACCCACAACAUCAAAUAUUCAUGUCAAUUUUAAGAGAUAUUUCACAUAUAGAAGUGAAAAAGUAUAAUACCUAGGAAAUAUCACAAUUAAAAAUAUUUUUCAAAAGUGGGAUAGUAUAACCUGCUUUUUAGUUAACAAUAUAUUAUAGACAUAUUUCCAUGUCAUUGAAUAAUCUUCUACAAUAUAUAUUCCUUGAAGAUAUUCUUCUACAAAAAUGAAAAUUUGUUUUCUUUUUCUGGGCUUAAGGACAAUACACAUUCAUGUAGCAAAUUCAUGCAAUGCAAAAAAGUAUAAAUAAGAAAAGCCAGCCAAAAUCCCAUUACUUAGAGGGACUACUGUUAACAUUUUUGUGAAUAUUUUCCAAGCUAUUACUCUACGAAUGAAGAUGCAUAUAUAAAAUAUAUAAUUUUAUAUAAAUGGAAUUCUAUAAAUGAUACUCUAUAAUACGUUUUUCAUUUUCACUAAGCAAUGGGUCACAGAGAUUGCUCAGUCAGUAAGUUGGAUCUACUUCAUUUUUAAAGGCUGCAUCAUAUUUUAUUGUACGGACUGGAGAAUAAUUUACUCACCUGGUCUCCUACUGAUAGACACUUAGAUUACUUCCAGUUGUUUACUAUUAUACAUAACAUCGUUGAAUACAUUUAGCUCCUUGGAAUAAAUUCUUAGAAGUGCAGUUCCUGAAUCAGAGUGUACACAUUUCAAACUGGUAUAUACAUGUCAAAUUGCCCUUCAAAGGCUACUACUUUAUACUCCUGUUAGCAGUGUACAAGACUUCCCCUCACUCUUGCCUAAACUAGGUAUUCUCUUUGGAAAACAAUUUUGAAAUUGUUUUGUUUACAAUGUCAGGUUCAUAGAAAAAGAAAAAGUUAAACAUGGAAUUACAUAUGAGCCAGCAAUUUCACUCCUAGGUAUAUACCCAAGAAAAUGAAAAUGUAUGUCUACACAAAAUUUGCACAUGAAUGUUUAUUGCAGCAUUAGUCUUAAUAGGCAUAAAAUGGAAACGACCCAAAUAUCCAUUAGCAAUGAAUGAAUAAACAAAAUGUGGUUAUCCAUACAAUAGAAUAUUAUUUGGCCAUGAAAAGGAAUGAACGUGGGUAAACCUUAGUAACGUUAUGCUAAAUGAAAGAAGCCAUUCAUGAAGGUCACAUACUGUGUGGUUCUGUUUAUGUAACAUGUCCAGAAUAGGUAGACAGAGACAAAGCAGAUUUGUGGUUACCAGAGGUUUGGGGGAAGGGAGGAUGCAGAAUGACUGCUAACGGGUCUGGGGUUUCUUUCUGGAGUGAUGAAAACAUUCCAGAAUUAGAUUGUGGUGAUGGUUUGGUUGUACAACUUUGUAAGUAUACUAAAAACCACUGAAUUGUACACUUUUAAAAAAGUUAAACAUAUUGCUACCAUAUGACCCAGCAAUUCUACUCCUAGGCAAAUAUCCAAAAGAAUUGAAAACAUAAAUCUACACAAAAGCUUGUAAAGGAAUGUUCAUAGCAGCAUUAUUCAUAAUACCUCCAAAGUAGAAAUAACCCAAAUCCAUCAACUAGUGAAUGCAUAAACAAAAUAUGGUGUAUCUGUGUGGUAGGCAAAAUCAUGGCCCCCAAGGGACUUUGCAGAUGUGAUUAAGGAUCUUGAGAUGGGGAGAUUAUCCUGGAUUAUCCACAUAGGCCAGUGUGAUCACAAGGUGCUUAAAAGUUGAAGAGGAAGAUGAAAGAAGAAAAAAGGAAAUUUUGACUAUAAAAAAGGAGGCCAUAGUGAUGUGUGAGAAGGACUUGAAUGCUGGCCUCGAAGGUGGAGGAAGGGAGCCAUAAACGCAGGAAUGUGGAUGGCAUCUACAAAGUGGAAAAGGGAAGGAAAAAGGAUCUCCCUUGGAGCCUCCAAAAAGGAACACAGCUCCGACAACACCUUGGUUUUAGCCCAAUAAUACCUGCCUCAGGUUCCUAACCUACAGAACUGUAAAGUAAUAAAUUUGUGUUGUUUUAAGCUACUAAAUUUGUGGUAAUCUGUGGCCGGGCGCGGUGGGUCACACUUGUAAUCCCAGCACUUUGGGAGGCCGAGGCAGGCGGAGCACGAGGUCAGGAGAUCGAGACCACGGUGAAACCCUGUCUCUACUAAAAAUACAAAAAAUUAGCCGGGUGUGGUGGCGCACGCCUGUAGUCCCAGCUAUUCCAGAGAGGCUGAGGCAGGAGAAUGUCGUGAACCUGGGAGGCAGAGCUUGCAGUGAGCCAAGAUGGCGCCACUGCACUCCAGCCUGGGCGACAGAGUGAGACUCUGUCUCAAAAAAAAAAAAAAAAAAAAAAAAAAUUGUGGUAAUUUGUUAUAGCAGCGAAUAGGAAACAAAUACAUCCAUACAAUGGAAUACUAUUUGGCCAUAAAAAGGAAUUAAAUGCUGAUACAUGCUACAACAUUGAUGAACUUUGAAAAUAUGCUAACUGAAACGAACCAGACAUAAAAGGCCACAUAGUGUAUGAUUCCACCUAGAUGAAAUGUCCAAAAUAGGCAAACCUGGCUGGGCGCGGUGGCUCACGCCUGUAAUCCCAGCACUUUGGGAGGCCGAGGCGGGCGGAUUGCCUGAGGUCAGGAGUUCAAGACCAGUCUGGCUAACAUGGUGAAACCCCGUCUCUACUAAAAAUAUUUUCAGAAAAAGUAGCCGGACGUGGUGGCGUGUGCUUUUAUUCCCAGUUACUCGGGAGGCUGAGGCAUGGGAAUUGCUUGAACCAGGGAGGUGGAGGUUGCAGUGAGCUGAGAUGGCGCCACUGCACUCCAGCCUAGGCGAGAGUGAGACUCCCUCUCAAGAAAAAAAAAGGCAAACCCACAGAGACAGAUUAGUGGUUGCCAAGGACUGGAAGUUA